GGGUUAGUAGGUUGGUCAUGCCUCUGGUAUGCACUGGUCUCACUGAUUCCUCCUUCCUGAUGAGCCGUAAUGCCAUUAAUUUGAUGUCGUGGAGAAUCAGGACUGUUACUUUGAAAAAAUUAGAGUGUUUAAAGCAAGCUAACGCUUGAAUACAUUAGCAUGGAAUAAUGAAAUAGGACGUUCGAUCCUAUUUUGUUGGUUUCUAGGAUUGACGUA
rnacentral:rRNA from 1 species